CCCAUCGCCACAUCCCCCUGCCGGGGCAGGGGGCUCCGCGGCAACAACGCGCCUUCUGAUUGGUCGCCCGUUGCCAUAGUUCCACCUCGGCGGCAAUAACACGUCUCUUGAUUGGUUGGUUUGGGCCGACAGUUGCAGUACAGCUACCUGCUGGGGCGCGGGCAACCCGGCUCCGGCCACUGCGCAUGCUCCCCAGCUGGGCCGGCUGCGGACGCGGGAAGGGAGGUGGUGGCGACUGACGGAACUGGGUGAAGGCAGCAGUCUGUCAACAACUAUGGCAUCCAGCUGGUCAGAAAGACUAGAGGAUUUGACAUUUUGCGGCUGUUCUCUAGAACCAAAGAAAUGAGAACCUCUUGGUAAAAUCCGCUGGUCCAGGAGUUAUUAUCUCCUGGAUUAUCUGCCAAAGAAAUUAUCUGCCAAAAUUACAAUGUAAAACUGAAGAAGACAACCGAUAACUCAGUUAAAAUUUUGGAAAAAUACAAAGAAACUGUGACUGGGGAGAAAUGGUGAGGGAAAUUUUCUCGUUGAAUUAGAGGAUCAGGAGGGCUAAAGGGAGCCCUCAUGCUAUCAACCAAAAUCUCUGUUAAAUUCCAAACAUAAAAUAUCUUUUCUCACUGUUAAAAUGUCUAAGCAGUCUCCACUAGCAGCCCCCGUCCUGGACACAGGAGCACUGCCCUGCCUGGCCGUCAGGUGCUCCCAUAAGCAUCAUUCAGACAGCGAGGGGGGCAGUGGAGGAUUCGGGGGCAGGAGAUGGGGUGGUGGAGAGAAGGAUGUAACCAUCAAAAGUCCAUUUUCCCUGCUGAAGCUACCCAUGGAACUUUUAAAUUGGGUGCAGAUUUAAAAAUUAAUACAAAAUAUUUGAAUAAUCGGGGAUGUAUCAAAUGUUCAUAAAUUACAGCUCCAACUAGGAAUGCCUAAGGAACUGUUCCUUCCGUUUAAUUGUCCUCUUUGUCUAUCAAAAAGACAGCCACUCGCGUGCCUCUUCUAAACAGUCAAAUACCAUCCUAAGCUCUCAUGGAAAAUCUCAAGAGGCUUAUUGGUUGACUAAUUCUAAACCUCUGUUUGCUCAAAGGACAGUGUCAGCUACAAUUUUUCAUUUGCUUUUGUAUUCCAUUUAUUUUUCUUUACAGCUUUGGGAGAUGUGUAUUAUACUUCUUUUCUUUUAAUGAUUAUCUUGGAAAUUGUUUAUAUAUACUUAACAGUCUACAGUGAAGGACUAUUUACCAUCCUUCUGAAUAACACAAAGAUUUUAGGACAGUGGUCCCCAGCCUUUUUGGCGCCAGGGACCAGUUUUUCCAUGGACCAGGGUGCAGGGGGAUGGUUUCAGGAUGAUUCCAGCACAUUACAUUUAUUGGGCACUUCAUUUCUAUUAUUAUUACAUUGUAAUAUAUAAUGAAAUAAUUAUACAACUCACCAUCAUAUAGAAUCAGUGGGUGUCCUGAGCUUGUUUUCCUGCAACUGGAUGGUCCUAUCUGGGGGUGAUGGGAGACAGUGACAGAUCAGCAGGCAUUAGAUUCUCAUAAGGAGCAUGCAACCUAGAUCCCUUGCAUGCACAGUUCACAAUAGGGUUCACACUCCUAUGAGAAUCUAAUGCCACCGCUGAUCUGAUGGGAGGUGGAGCUCAGGUGGUAAUGUGAGCAGUGGGGAGUAGCUGUAAAUACAGAUGAAGUUUCGCUCAUUUGCCUGCCCACGGCUCCUAACUCUUGCUGUGCAGCCCAGUUCCUAACAUAUCCGUUGGUGGCCCAGGGGUUGGAGACCUUGUCUUAGAAUGGUUUUCCUCCGUUGAUCACUGCUUCUAGCUUGUGUGCUACUGGGAUACAAUAUUUUGAAUCAAUCUCUGUUUUUAACCUCACAGAUUGUGUAAUUAUCAGUAUCUGCUUAAUAUGUAUUUAGAUUAGUCAUAUGUUUACCAUUUUGUUUAGCUGCCAAACGUCAUUGCAUUUCAGACUUUCUUUCUGGGAGCGUCUCAUUCUUCCUGAAGUACAUCAUUUAAAUGUGCCUUUAAGUUUGGUGGCAAACAGUCUCAAUUUCUGUUUAUCUCAAAGUGCCUUUAUUCUACCUCAUUUUUGGUAGUUUCACUGGAUUUGUGAUUUUUAAAUCUAUAAUUAUUUUCUAGCACAUUGAAGGUAUUUCACUUUCUUCCAUGUUCCAUUGUUAUUAAAAAGACUCCUGUCAGUCUUAUUGACAUUCUUUUGUAGAUAAUCUGUUUUUUCACUAUUUUAUCUAUGUAUGAAUUUAAUCUAUUUAUGAAUUUCAUCUAUGUAUUUCAUCAUGUAUGAAUUUAAUUUAUUUCUCUUGCUUGAUAUAUUAUAUUGCUUCCUGAACUCUGAAAAAUUCUUGGCCAUUAUUUCUUAGUCUAUUAAAUAUUCUUUAAAUACUGCUGUCUUGCUGUUACUCUACUAUUUAAUUCUGAAACUUAAAAUGAAUAUAUGUUGGACUUUAUUUUUCAUUUUCUUAACUUCUCUUGCGUAUUUUUAAUUUGUCUUUCUGUUACGCAUCCUGAGCAAUGUCUUUGGAUAUAAUUUCCAGUUUACAAAUUCUCUUUUGAGCUGUGUCUAAUGUGUUAUUUUUUAAAAUUUUUUUCAGAGACAGGGUCUUGCUCUGUUGCCAAGGCUGUAGCACAGUGGUGCCAUCAUAGCACACUGCAGCCUCUAAUUAGCAGAUUAUGUUUUCAUAAAAUGUUUUUUAUCUUUGACCAUUUAAAAAUUUGGGAGUUUAUCUCUCCUCUCCUUUCCUUUCCUUCCUUCUCUCUCUUCUUUCUUUCUUUUUCUUUCUUUCUCUUUCUUUUUUUCUUUCUUUCUCUCUCUCUUUCCCUCCCUCCCUCCCUCCCUCCCUUCCUCCCUCCCUUCCUCCCUUCUUCCUUCUUUCCAUGAGAUCUUCCUAUGUUGCCUAGGCGUACCACCUAUUUACUUACUACCAUUGCAUAAGUCACUUAUCUCUCUCUCCAUUUUGAUUGUCUGAAGCUUGAUGUCGACUAGAUUUCUCAGGAAAGACUCAGCAAUAAUAGUCCCUGAGUUCUGGCAUGUUGAUAAAAGUUUGUCUUUUAUUAAUUAGAUAUAAAAUUCUUGUUUCAUAUAUUCUUUCCUUGAGUAUGUUAAUUAUUAUAUGUUAUUUUAAUAUUGUAUAUUGUAAUAGCAUAUAAUAACAUAUGAUAUUUGUAUUAUUUAUUUGUAUAUAUUUGCAUUACUGUAUAUUUGUAUUCUGUAUGAUUUAUCUUGUAUAUAAAUAUUGUAUGUUAAAUAAAUAAUAUGCUAUUUCAUUUUCUCAUAGCAUAAAGCAUUGCUGUCGACAAGCGUGAUGAUAAUUAAUUUUUUUUCCUUAUACCUUACACACUUGUUUGGGAUAUCUGUUGUAGACUGAAUUGCAUCCUACCCAAAUUUAUAAGUUGAAGCUCUAAUCCCUAGUGUGACUGUAUGUGGAGACAGAGCUUUUAAGGAGGUAAUUAAGGCCAUAAGAGGGGCUGGUAAUAUAAUAUGAUUGGUGUCCUUAAAAGAAAAGGAAGAGACACCAGGAAUGCAGGUGCACAGGAAAGGCCAUAUGAGGACAGGAUGAGAUGGCCCUUUGCAGCCAAGGAGAGAGGCCAUAGAAGAAAUCAUCCCUGCGAACACGUUGAUCUUGGACUUCCAGCCUUCAGAACU
rnacentral:lncRNA from 1 species